rnacentral:lncRNA from 1 species
UACUACUUAGGCACCCUAUUCCCCUAUAUACAGUAUAGUGCACUGCUUAGGCACCCUAUUCCCUAUAUGCGUAUAGUGCAACUACUUAGGAUCCUAUUCCCUAUAUACAGUAUAGUGUACUACUUAGGCACCCUAUUCCCUAUAUGCAUUAUAGUGCACUACCUUAGGCACCCUAUUCCCUAUACCCAGUAUAGUGCACUACUUAGGCACCCCUAUUCACUAUAUACAGUAUAGUGCACUACUUAGGCACCCUAUUCCAUAUAUACAGUAUAGUGCAUCUACUUCAGCACCCAUUCCCUAUAUACAGUAUAGUGCACUACUUAGGCACCCUAUUCCCCAUAUACAGUAUAGUGUACUACUUAGGCACCCUAUUCCCUAUAUACAGUAUAGUGCACUACUUAGGCACCCCUAUUCCCUAUAUACAGUAUAGUGCACUACUUAGGCACCCUAUUCCCUAUAUACAGUAUAGUGCACUACUUAGGCACCCUAUUCCCUAUAUACAGUAUAGUGCACUACUUAGGCACCCUAUUCCCUAUAUACAGUAUAGUGCACUACUUAGGCACCCUAUUCCCCUAUAUACAGUAUAGUGUUACUACUUAGGCACCCUAUUCACUAUAUACAGUAUAGUGCACUACUUAGGCACCCUAUCACUAUAUACAGUAUAGUGCACUACUUAGGCACCCUAUUCCUAUAUACAGUUUAUUUUAAUGUAACCU